UACGAAGGGGGCUAGCGUUGCUCGGAAUGACUGGGCGUAAAGGGCGCGUAGGCGGAGUGCUUUGUCGGGCGUGAAAUUCCAGGGCUCAACCUUGGGGCUGCGUUCGAGACGGGCAUUCUAGAGUGGAGAAGAGGGUCGUGGAAUUCCCAGUGUAGAGGUGAAAUUCGUAGAUAUUGGGAAGAACACCGGUGGCGAAGGCGGCGACCUGGUCUUUUACUGACGCUGAGGCGCGAAAGCGUGGGGAGCAAACAGG
rnacentral:rRNA from 1 species